UAACGCAACAGGUAGGGGGAAGAAAUUCUGCCCAGUUGUCUUCCUGGAGGAAAUCUUUCUGGUCUUGCCAAGUUGAGAACCAGCUCCCUGCUCCUCCAGAGUAGAUCAGUACCAUCGUGGGGCACUCCUGAUCAGCAGCUCUGGACAAGUGGAUGUCACUUGCCAGGCAGCUUUCCUGGUGUUGGGACCUCAGUCUCAGAAGUCCUUCCUCUACUUUAUGGCCUGACUGCUUCAUCCCUGGGGCUUUGUCCAGGUCAUCUGAUACCUCAACAGCUUCCACUUCUGGCUAAAGACCAAAUGUACAGUCAUUCACUCCCAAUUCCCAUGUGAAGAAAAGAAUGUGCAGAAGUUGGGGCCUUCAAGAGCUCUACCCUAGUCCUGAAGAUUAUUAUAAUGAUAGACUUCUGCUACAACUCUGGCUGAGAGAGCCACAACUUGCCUUCGUCCUUUGUUCCAAAUCCAGAAAUAAUAGUAAUGCCACAUAGUUUUAAGUGAAGACAUAAGUGUAAAAGUGCAAUAAUUAAUGGAUAGAUAAACAAAAUGUGGUACAUCCACACAGUGGAAUAUUAUUUGGCCAUAAACAGUGAAUUACUGACUGGUGCUAUGACAUGGAUGAACCUUUAAAAGUUGUGCUAAGUGAAAGAAGCCAGGCAUAAGAGGUCACACAUUUAUGGUUCUGUAAUAGAAAAAGUUUAGAAUGGGUCAAUCCAGAGAUAGGAAGCUGACUGCUGGUUGCCAGGGGCUGAAGGGAGGAGAAAAGGGGAUUGACUGGUUAAUGAGACAGGGCUUAAACAGAAGUGGUGGUUGUACAGUGUUACAGAUGCAUGAAAUGCCAUUGAAUUUUGCACUUUAGAGUGGCUAAUAUUGUUAUAUAUAUUUUACCUCAUUAAAGAAAUAAAGCAAAGAAUGGAGGUCUUGGGGACGCGAGGCAGGGAGGAUUCUAUAAGCAGGACUCGUUCCUUACAACACUGUGACAGCUGCUGUGCUGAGAACUCAGGCCCUGUGUUGGUACCAUACAAUGUCAC
rnacentral:lncRNA from 1 species